rnacentral:rRNA from 1 species
AAGAACCUGAAACCGUGUACGUACAAGCAGUGGGAGCACAGAGCAAUCUGUGUGACUGCGUACCUUUUGUAUAAUGGGUCAGCGACUUAUAUUCUGUAGCAAGGUUAACCGAAUAGGGGAGCCGAAGGGAAACCGAGUCUUAACUGGGCGUUAAGUUGCAGGGUAUAGACCCGAAACCCGGUGAUCUAGCCAUGGGCAGGUUGAAGGUUGGGUAACACUAACUGGAGGACCGAACCGACUAAUGUUGAAAAAUUAGCGGAUGACUUGUGGCUGGGGGUGAAAGGCCAAUCAAACCGGGAGAUAGCUGGUUCUCCCCGAAAGCUAUUUAGGUAGCGCCUCGUGAAUUCAUCUCCGGGGGUAGAGCACUGUUUCGGCAAGGGGGUCAUCCCGACUUACCAACCCGAUGCAAACUGCGAAUACCGGAGAAUGUUAUCACGGGAGACACACGGCGGGUGCUAACGUCCGUCGUGAAGAGGGAAACAACCCAGACCGCCAGCUAAGGUCCCAAAGUCAUGGUUAAGUGGGAAACGAUGUGGGAAGGCCCAGACAGCCAGGAUGUUGGCUUAGAAGCAGCCAUCAUUUAAAGAAAGCGUAAUAGCUCACUGGUCGAGUCGGCCUGCGCGGAAGAUGUAACGGGGCUAAACCAUGCACCGAAGCUGCGGCAGCGACACUGUGUGUUGUUGGGUAGGGGAGCGUUCUGUAAGCCUGUGAAGGUGUGCUGUGAGGCAUGCUGGAGGUAUCAGAAGUGCGAAUGCUGACAUAAGUAACGAUAAAGCGGGUGAAAAGCCCGCUCGCCGGAAGACCAAGGGUUCCUGUCCAACGUUAAUCGGGGCAGGGUGAGUCGACCCCUAAGGCGAGGCCGAAAGGCGUAGUCGAUGGGAAACAGGUUAAUAUUCCUGUACUUGGUGUUACUGCGAAGGGGGGACGGAGAAGGCUAUGUUGGCCGGGCGACGGUUGUCCCGGUUUAAGCGUGUAGGCUGGUUUUCCAGGCAAAUCCGGAAAAUCAAGGCUGAGGCGUGAUGACGAGGCACUACGGUGCUGAAGCAACAAAUGCCCUGCUUCCAGGAAAAGCCUCUAAGCAUCAGGUAACAUCAAAUCGUACCCCAAACCGACACAGGUGGUCAGGUAGAGAAUACCAAGGCGCUUGAGAGAACUCGGGUGAAGGAACUAGGCAAAAUGGUGCCGUAACUUCGGGAGAAGGCACGCUGAUAUGUAGGUGAAGUCCCUCGCGGAUGGAGCUGAAAUCAGUCGAAGAUACCAGCUGGCUGCAACUGUUUAUUAAAAACACAGCACUGUGCAAACACGAAAGUGGACGUAUACGGUGUGACGCCUGCCCGGUGCCGGAAGGUUAAUUGAUGGGGUCAGCGCAAGCGAAGCUCUUGAUCGAAGCCCCGGUAAACGGCGGCCGUAACUAUAACGGUCCUAAGGUAGCGAAAUUCCUUGUCGGGUAAGUUCCGACCUGCACGAAUGGCGUAAUGAUGGCCAGGCUGUCUCCACCCGAGACUCAGUGAAAUUGAACUCGCUGUGAAGAUGCAGUGUACCCGCGGCAAGACGGAAAGACCCCGUGAACCUUUACUAUAGCUUGACACUGAACAUUGAGCCUUGAUGUGUAGGAUAGGUGGGAGGCUUUGAAGUGUGGACGCCAGUCUGCAUGGAGCCGACCUUGAAAUACCACCCUUUAAUGUUUGAUGUUCUAACGUGGACCCGUGAUCCGGGUUGCGGACAGUGUCUGGUGGGUAGUUUGACUGGGGCGGUCUCCUCCUAAAGAGUAACGGAGGAGCACGAAGGUUGGCUAAUCCUGGUCGGACAUCAGGAGGUUAGUGCAAUGGCAUAAGCCAGCUUGACUGCGAGCGUGACGGCGCGAGCAGGUGCGAAAGCAGGUCAUAGUGAUCCGGUGGUUCUGAAUGGAAGGGCCAUCGCUCAACGGAUAAAAGGUACUCCGGGGAUAACAGGCUGAUACCGCCCAAGAGUUCAUAUCGACGGCGGUGUUUGGCACCUCGAUGUCGGCUCAUCACAUCCUGGGGCUGAAGUAGGUCCCAAGGGUAUGGCUGUUCGCCAUUUAAAGUGGUACGCGAGCUGGGUUUAGAACGUCGUGAGACAGUUCGGUCCCUAUCUGCCGUGGGCGCUGGAGAACUGAGGGGGGCUGCUCCUAGUACGAGAGGACCGGAGUGGACGCAUCACUGGUGUUCGGGUUGUCAUGCCAAUGGCACUGCCCGGUAGCUAAAUGCGGAAGAGAUAAGUGCUGAAAGCAUCUAAGCACGAAACUUGCCCCGAGAUGAGUUCUCCCUGACCCUUUAAGGGUCCUGAAGGAACGUUGAAGACGACGACGUUGAUAGGCCGGGUGUGUAAGCGCAGCGAUGCGUUGAGCUAACCGGUACUAAUGAACCGUGAGGCUUAACCUU